CCUUUGAUGCACGACAUCCCACCUUUUCAGCUGAGUUAAGAAAUGUUCGAUUAGGUUUGGCGAGUGACGGGUUCCAACCUUAUGGGAACAUGAGUUCUAAUCAUAGUAUUUGGCCAGUCGUACUAGCUACGUAUAACUUGCCACCAUGGGAUUGCAUGAAAAAUCCAUAUUUCAUGAUGACACUUCUUAUUCCAGGCCCCAAGUGUCCAGGCAAUGAUAUCAAUGUAUAUUUACAACCAAUGGUUGAAGAGUUGAAAGAAUUAUGGGACGGGGUGGAGACUUAUGAUGCACACUCAAAAUCUAAUUUUCUGAUGCGUGUGGCUAUCAUGUGGACGACCAAUGACUUUCCUGCAUAUGUGAAUCUUUCAGGAUGGUCAACCAAAGGCAAGCUUGCAUGUCCUUGUUGUCAUAAAGAUACAUAAUCGACUUCCUUGCGUAGUAAGUUGUGUUAUAUGGGUCAUCGUCGCUUCCUUCCCAUGGACCAUCCAUGGCGAAGAAGUAGGACGUUAUUUGAUGGGAAAGUUGAAAUGGGAGUUGCACCUAACCCUUUAACCGGUGAUGAAGUACUUGCGCAAUUACAAGCUUUGGGUAAUGUGGCUUUUGGUAAAGGACAAAAGAGAAAGCGUGAUGUUCAUAAAAAUGGUUACAACUGGAAGAAGAAAAGUAUCUUUUUCCAAUUGCCUUAUUGGAAGAGUCUUAUGUUACGACAUAACCUUGAUGUGAUGCAUCGAAAGAAAUGUGUCUGACAAUAUUAUAUCAACUGCCAUGAAUAUGGUUGAAAAGACAAAAGACACAUUGAAAAGUAGAUAUGACUUGAUGGACCUUGGAAUCAGACAAAGGUUGCAUCCAAUUGAGGAUGGGAAUAAUAUUUUGUUACCGGCAGCGUGCUAUGCAUUGUCCCCGGAAGAGAAGCUGAAGGCAUGCAGUUUCUUAGCUAAUCUGAAGGUUCCUGAUGCCUUUUUCCUCAAACAUUUCAAGGUGUGUCAAUGUACAAGAAAAGAAGAUACAUGGAUUGAAAUGUCAUGGUCAUCAUGUAUUGUUGCAAGAUAUUUUUCCAGUAGCUAUACGUGGUUUGCUACCCAAGGAAGUGUGUGAUCCAAUUAUAGCCUUAGGAAAAUUUUUCAAGAAUAUAUACUCUAAGUGCUUGACGAUUGAAGAUCUUGAUAUCCUAGAGGCAGAAAUUCCUAUUAUUUUGAGCAAACUUCACCUUGUUUUCCCUCCGACGUUCUUUGAUGUCAUGGUUCAUUUGCCAAUUCACUUGCCAAGUGAGGCAAAGCUUGGUGGACAUAUAUUAUAUUAAUGGGUUUAAUAUAAUAUGUAUCCUAUAGAGAGGUAUUUGCGAACACUUAAGUCAUAUGUUCGCAACAAAAAUCGCCCAGAAGGUUCAAUUGCAGAAGGUUAUUUGGCAGAGGAAAGCCUCACAUUUUGCUCGCGAUACUUGAAGGAUAUCUCAACCAAGUUUAAUAAACCAACUAGGAAUGACGAUGGAUCUGUGUCAAAUAAUGUGAUGUUUAUCUUCAAAAAAAGUGGUCAAACAAAAGGUGCUUCAGACGGCCAGCAGCAACAGAGAGAAAGAGACGACCAGGGUUCCAAGUCUUGUACACUUCCAACUUAACAUACGACCAGCAGCAACAGUGUCAGGAUAAAUUUGAAGUUUACAACGGGCUGCAAGAGCAUAGGUUUCAAGCCUUUGUAAUUAGCACUAUGCAAAGGCUUUUUAGAGCAUGGAAAGCUCGACUCAGCUGGUUGUACUCUAAGUACAAUACUAAUGAAGAAAGAUUGUCUCAUCGACCUGAAGAUGUUGAGCUUGAGGACUGGAAAUACCUAAUAUAAUAUUUUGGAAGUCAGGAUUUUAAGGUACUAACUUAAUACCUGAAGAUUCUGCCAACCAAAGGGCACCAUUCACAUCUUUGAAAGUGAAAUCCUAUUACUGGAGAAAUAGACACACCAGAUAAAGUUUGGGAGAUCCAACAUACACGCAAGGAUGAUAAAGGAGAAUUGGUGUGGGUGGAUCCACAAUCCCAACAAAUUCAUGGUCAACUCCAAGAAGUUGUCACUCAGCAACAAUCUGAAGAGAUCGAGCAUCCUAUGACUAGAGAUGAGACUUUAUCCACCGUUCUUGGUGAGAAAACAGGUUAUGUUCGCGGAAAAGGAUACGGAAAGAAGCCUCCUAAAAAGAGUAACAUACAGCAGGCAAGCAUCGAGUCCAGCGUGUCUUCCACUAUGGAAAUUAUGCGUCAAAAGAUGUAAGCCGAGAUGGAUAGAAAGUUGCAAGAAGAACGUGAACAAAUGGCUGCUCAGUUGCAAAGAAAUAUGGAACUUGAGUUGCAAAGGAAGUUGGCAGAGGAGCAUGAACACUCAAGUGUAGAAGUAGACAAGAGGAUCCAUCUAAAAGUGGACAAGAGGAUGCAUGAACAAUUUGCUAGUUUGAUGACCAGAAUGCUACAACAGCAGGGACAAGGCACUUAAACAAUAGUAUCGUUCAAGGAUGGUGUCGACCAAGGAGCAAUUACAAGGCACUUAAUAUUUUAUCUUUUUUGAGAUAUGUAUAUGCGUACAAUUAUAUUACAAUGCAUAAUGAAGUGUAGUUUUGUAUUAUGAAUUGACCUUUUUAGUAAUGAAAAUAUUUAUAAUAUUCAGUUUGAGAAA